rnacentral:rRNA from 1 species
CACGUAGGGGGCAAGCGUUGUCCGGAUUUAUUGGGCGUAAAGAGCUCGUAGGCGGUUCGGUAAGUCGGGUGUGAAACCUCCAGGCUCAACCUGGAGACGCCACCCGAUACUGCUGUGACUAGAGUCCGGUAGGGGAGCGUGGAAUUCCUGGUGUAGCGGUGAAAUGCGCAGAUAUCAGGAGGAACACCAAUAGCGAAGGCAGCUCGCUGGGACGGUACUGACACUAAGGCGCGAAAGCGUGGGGAGCGAACAGG